rnacentral:lncRNA from 1 species
GAAUACGAUGAGCAGCUAACUCAUGACGACGCUGCGUUCGAAAACCUUUAUGUGAAACGAAAAAUAAAAUUCAAUUUUACAAAAUCGGUAUUUUUCUACAAUUCCCUGAUAGUUUGUCUUGGCAGUAACAUUAAUACAACGAAUAGUGAACCGUACCGGACUCAAACUACUUUAUUCCAGGAUAAAUAUCUCACAAGAAUCUCAGCUAUUUAUGUUAAUGGUAAAAUGAAAUUGCUUAGGGAUAAUUUCUCUCAAAUGCUGUUCGAUUCCGCCGCCAUAUUGGAUACGAACGGUAAUGGAUAUUACAUUCCGAAAGGUUCAUCGGCAAACGUCGCCAUCAGUCGGCAAAAAUCGAAGGCACCCGAUGGUAAAACACCCACAAAAGCUAGAUAUGCAACAGUCUGGCUAGAUCACGGUAUAAACCCUGUUUCAGCAAGCUAUGAAUAUGCGAUACUUGUCGCAACAGAUGUCGCUAGCGUAGAAGCCCUUAGAGAAGCUCAGUCCUCUGACUCGCCAGUAUAUAAAGUACUUCGUAAAGAUUCCGCUGGUCAUGUGGUACGAUUUACAGACAACACAGCAAGCCCAAGCGAAACGUAUGGUUGUACUUUUUUCGAGAAAAACGUGCAUUUGACCGAAGGCCCUAUCAGUCGUGUUAGUGCCGAGUGCAUAGUUAUGGCCCAAAUCGAUAGCCCGAACUUUUCAAAUAUAAAUCUAAGUAUCAGCUCACCUGAUUUAAACUACAACACCUCAAAAGUGCUCAUAGAUAGUGAAGACAAUGGUGUUAACGAGUUUUUCUACAUGAGGAGUCAGCCCGUGAAUAUAUCCGUCUAUCUAAGGAGACCAGUAGUUCUACAUGGAGUGCUCGUCAAUGGAAAACCAGUGGAAAAAUCACUGUAUGGUCAUUAUAUAGCCGUGAAACCUGAUGACCCGCAACACCCGGCGUUAGGAGGAAGGGAAAUCGUCUUCAAACGUCUUAUAAAUGGAGAAAGUGUAGAGGCGUAUCUUGCAGUCGUGAAAAAAAAUUGUUGUAUAUUAAUUUGAUGAAAUUUUAAGUUGUUAAUUCUUUAAAAGUUGUCUGUUACAUCGAUUGUAAAUUUGUCCUAUAUUUCCAAUUGGAUUGUUGAAAUUAUUGUAAUUUUAAUGUCGCUGUAGUUAAUCAACUUGGGAAAUUUGUGGCCGAUUCCCUGGCGAUACCAGUGAGCUCUAUGAAUAUCGGGACUGAAGAACUUCAGUCAAGCCAAAAUGGCGGAAUUGAAGUCCAGACCAUAUAUAGCCGGUGGUAAACAGUUUUAAUAAUACCAUUUUCCACCAGCUAAUUCCAGUUUUGUCUAAUGGACCGUAUCGCUAAUCAAGUUAUCAGUUCAUAAAACCGUAGUAUUAUUCGGCACACUCCUUGCCAAGAUGGUGGAAAUUGAAGAGCUAUAGGACGGCGUCAGUCCCAGUCCCUUUCUAUUGUUUUUGUGCGCGCGGUUAACGCGUUCUGGACUCGAGCUUCGACUCCACUCUGUAUUCAUGCGGUCGAAAAUUUUAGUAAAAUUGCAGAUACCGCAAGAUUUGUUUAAUUAAAACUUUGUAUGAAAAAGACAACAAACCGGGCAUUGGCCGAGCGGCACUCUCUGGCAAAGUGUCCUGGCUUCCAACAUCGGAAACAUGUUGUUCGGUUGUCCCCUGAGUGGGCAAAACUUGCCUACGUGCUUUAAAGUUGAAGGGGCCCUGCCCUUUGGCAACAUUGGGAGUUGAC